GCCUAGGUAGCUCAGUGGUAGAGCUCCUGACUAUACACCUGCAGGGGUCCGGGUUCGAUUCCCGGUCCAGCCA
rnacentral:tRNA from 1 species